rnacentral:lncRNA from 1 species
AUGGUAGAAGCAAUGCAAUAAACACACAGAGAGAUCGGCAGCCCAGCAGUCAGGGAAGGGCAACUCUGUUCCCUUCAUUCCCUGAGCAGUCAGGAGGAGGCAGGGUCUUCAGUCAUCCCCACUCCACUUGCUGGCCAGAGGAGAGGAGAUGUAGAGAUGUCUUUAGGAUCAGUGAACCCUACAGCCACGCUACAUCUGCAGAUGCCAUGCCUCAGAUAGCCCUCUCAUAUCCCUGAUGUGAAGAAUUCCUCCUGGGCUGGUGCAGCUGUGCCUGGACUUUACAAGCUCUCCCUUCGCUAUGUGUGGACAUUUACUUCUUGUGAUGUUUUUUGCUUAAGGAGGUUGAAAGAAGCUGAAACUGUGACAUGAGCUAUGCAGGCUACCAUGCACAGGGGUGUGCUCAUCAGAAGGAUGAACUCUCAGUCACAGAGGAAAAGACAUUACGGCAGUGGAGACAGAACGUGCGGCACCGGCUGCGGCAGGACCUGGUGGCCAAGGAGCGGGCGGACAAGAAGCGGAGCAAGAGCAUCGACAAGACGCUGAAGGCGGAGAAGAGGGAGUACAAGCAGACGCACAGGCUGCUGCUGCUCGGUGAGCGGCGGGCGGGACGCGGCCGGCGGCUCCCCCCCGGGGGCGAACCGGGGACGGGGGCUCGGCAUCGCCCCGGGAGGGGGGGGGUCGGGGCGGUGGCUGCACCUCGAGGGGGAGCCCGCAGGGGUCGGAGGGACCCCCCCCAGCCGUGGGCGGCGCUGGGGGCUGUGGGAGGUUUUCCCCCUUUUUUUUUAGUUUGGUUUUAUUUAUUUAUUUAUUUAUCUGUCUUCCCGUGUGCGUUCGUGGCUUGGCGUCGCCUCGCCGAGUGCUGGCGGCUUGGGGAGGUGUCGGGGCUCCGAGGUUGGUUGCAGCCCGGCGGGGCCGUGCACCUGCCUGUGCGGUGGGGCCGGGGGCUGGGCGGGGGACACGGGGUGCUGCAGGGGGUGCCCCCAACACACGGCCGAGCAGAGCCGUGCAUUAGCCGCCAGGCAAGUCCGGGGGCUUGGAAAUUCUUCCACUCCCCUCCCCUCAGCAUGCUUCGGCUGGGACACCGACAGCACGUUGCGGAGCUCUGGACAUCCUGGAGUAGCAGAUGGUGCCGCAAACUUCUGCAGGAUGGGGAGCCUCCUGCCUGCUGA